UUUAUACUCGUUUCUUUUCUGUUUUCUUUUGUCUUUUUGCCGUUUAUUUAUGAUCUUGUUUCAAGGUUUCUCACCGCCUGCGAUGUCUCCAUCGAAUGGAAACGCUAAAGGUUCCACUCGAGCGCAAACCGUGGGUGUAAGGAAUCUAGGUACCUAAGGAUGUGACUGCAGUAUGCACUUCUCCCUGCUGGCACAGGCUGAUCGAGAUUUCCUUGGAGCUGCCGGAGGAAGCUCUGGAAUUAGGUAAAUUACUAAUUAUAACAUCUGCAAAUCGCGGCAGCGUCUUCAUGCACAAGUCCUCUCGA
rnacentral:sRNA from 1 species